rnacentral:rRNA from 1 species
AGGUGGAGCGAAUCUCCAAAAAUUGUCCCAGUUCAGAUUGCAGGCUGCAACUCGCCUGCAUGAAGUCGGAAUUGCUAGUAAUCGUGGAUCAGCAUGCCACGGUGAAUACGUUCCCGGGCCUUGUACACACCGCCCGUCACACCAUGGGAGUCGGUAACACCCGAAGCCUGUAGUCUAACCGCAAGGAGGACGCAGUCGAAGGUGGGAUUGAUGACUGGAGUGAAGUCGUAACAAGGUACC